AACGAACGCUGGCGGCAGGCUUAACACAUGCAAGUCGAACGGGUGUAGCAAUACAUCAGUGGCAGACGGGUGAGUAACACGUGGGAACCUUCCUAGAGGUACGGAACAACGCAGGGAAACUUGCGCUAAUACCGUAUACGCUCUUGCGAGGAAAGAUUUAUCGCCUUUAGACGGGCCCGCGUCGGAUUAGCUAGUUGGUAAGGUAACGGCUUACCAAGGCGACGAUCCGUAGCUGAUCUGAGAGGAUGAUCAGCCACACUGGGACUGAGACACGGCCCAGACUCCUACGGGAGGCAGCAGUGGGGAAUCUUGGACAAUGGGCGCAAGCCUGAUCCAGCCAUGCCGCGUGAGUGAAGAAGGCC
rnacentral:rRNA from 1 species